UGAAAGUUAGCAAAAAAACUUGUUGUAAAAGAGCUAAUUAAUAACAGAGCUCAGGGUGCUUAAGAAGCUGAGUCUAUGGAGACUGAAGAAAGUAUUUUUAAACCCAUUCUGGAGCUGCAGUUAUUAACAAAUGGUUGAUCUUCACAGAAAUCAUCCUGUGGUUGCUUCCACUCUGUUUCCCACAGUGACCUCAGCAGCAAAGGGAAGCAAAUCAGAAGAGUAUUGAAAAAUCAAAAUAAAACCAAAAUAAAAAUAAUUAGUAUAGCCUAUCGAGGUACUUGUCAUGUCUGUGCACUUACAGCUGAGCUGAGUUUUACAUUCAAAAUAACAAUCCAAUGGCAUUUGCUAUUGUUUUUUUUUAAUGUAGAAGAGGCACGGUUUUCACGAAGACUUACAGCACAACUAUAAGAGCACACAGUGAAUUUCCUGAGAAUUUACAACCUUGGUAGUGGAUUAAUCCAGACCUUCAUCAUAUUCAGAGAUUGCAAGGAUCUGCAUUGACAACAUCUGAAGAGGAUGCUAUGAGGAACAUCUGAAGAUACCUGAGAAGCCCCCAGCUAGAACGGCCCUUUCACUUCCCACCAGGAGGGACAAUUCGCUGCAGUUCUUCUGUGAACAGAGGGAAGCAGGUGCUGCUCUGAGUGAUGAAUCUCCUAACUGUGUGCAGACGGAUCAGUCCCACUGAGAACUGCCUUGUUGCGUUGUCGUGGGAGAGAAAAAAUGUUAUGCUUAACAUCAUUUAAGGCUAACCUGACAUCACAAACGUUCAGAGGCUUUGAUUAUUGCAUGAGAUCAUUGCAGUAAAAGGAGAAGACAGCAUUAAACAAUUAGGCAUGUAGUACAGAUGUAAUUACUUGGGAUACAGGAGAUAGCAAUAUAUGCUUUGUCAAAUCAGUAGGAAAAGGAUGCAGCUGUUGUACGCAGCCCCUGCUGAAGGUAAUACAAUGAUUGUGAUAAUGCCUAUAUAAUCUUCAGAAAUGUAAUAUUGCAAUUCUAUUCAUCCUCUUUCUACUAAGAAUCUCAAAGAAUUUAAUGACUUCAAUAAAUUAAGAUUCUCCUUCUGUUCAGAUCAGGAAAAUAUUUUACGACUAGAUCCACUUCUUUACAGAGAACAUCAGAACAGAGAAAAUCAGCAGAAUUUUUGUUUAGUUUGAUGGAUUUAUCUCAGAGACUUUCUACACCAUUAGGAUAAUGAAAAAAAAGGAGAAGCCAAACACAUUCAGGUUCUACAAAGGCACUGUUUGUAUGCUUGCAUAACGAACAUACAACUUAAAACUUCAAACUGUAAACUAAUAACCCUCUCAGAAAGUAUUUGUUCCAUCCACGUGUAGAGACCCAACAGUGGGUUGGGUCAUCUUUCUCUGAAUCAUUAGGUUUUGACCAUUGUUUGGGCAGUGUAUGGCAUGUGAUAGAUGUCUGGUCCAAUACAGCCAAUCCCAUGUACAAACAGUUAGAUAGAAUGUCUCCAGUAUCUUACCCUUAGGUGCAUGAAAAGCAAUUAUUGGGGCACAUUCAUGCACUGAGACAGUUUUAGAAGUUUGUCUACAUCUUAAGAUAAUCCCUGCAUCAACUGCAAGGUUAAGGAGUGUGUUUCCAUGCCAGAACUCAGCUGGAACUUGAAAGAGCUGUGACCUGGAAACACAAUGUUGCUACUUACGUAGCUGGAUUUUUUAAAAAUAAAAUUUAAAAAGAAGAGAUGUCAGAGCUCUGAGGGUUGAAGAUUUUACUCUAAGGGUUACUGGUGAAUUUGUCGUGAUGAGACAAUAAAAAAAGAAUUGGGGAACUAAAAAGAGAAGUAUAGAGAACGCGAGGCAUACAGUGCCUCAGGGAAAAGAAUGGCAUGUAAUUAUAACCGCACGCUGCUCUGAAAAGAUAAAGCUGCAUGUAAAAAGGUUAUAGGCUCAGGGAAAGGGAGGAAAGAUGGAUCUUGGAACUCCAAAAGAGGGG